rnacentral:lncRNA from 1 species
GUCUUCAUUUCUACAACAGUUGACUGAAAAGCGGCAGGAAAAUAAUUUUGUUCCGUGAGGGUGAGUUUCAAUUUCUGUGGCCGCUAGAUGGCAAUGUUAACCGCGGUAUCGGAGUCCUGCCCACUCCACCCCGCCCUUUGUGCUUAAAAAAAAAGUAGUCUUUCUAAAUUAUGCUUCCUCAAUCUGGUUCUCUUUUGCUUUUUUUUUUUUUUUUUGCUUGCCUGUGGAUAAAGCCCUUUGCUCUUAUAGUAGGCGGUUUAAAUUCUGUUGGGCAGCUACUUGUGUUUUGGCUUUUCUAAAAGUCAUUCUUUAACUUGUCUUUAGGAUUAACAUUAGAGGAUCUUUAUAAACAUCCUCGUUCUUUUAUUUAACCGUUUGCAGGGGUACUAAUGAAAACAAUUCUUAUCCACAUUGCAAUCAUCCAGACUCAAUGCAGUUUACAAUACUUGAUUUAGGGAUUAUUUUUUUCUUCCCCAUUCCCAUGGGUAUAAUUUAAGCAUACAGAAAUGAGUAUUUGUGUUAUUGCUUUAACAAUUUAAGAAAAGUGAAAUCCCACUGAACCCCCCCUGACAGGUAAUGAUUAGAAAAAAGACCCUAGGAACUGGAGAGAUGGCGAAGCAGUUAAGAGCUAGUACUGCUCCUACAGAGGACCCUUCCUAGGACACACCUUGGCUCUAGACAGUCAGAUGCCUCUGGCCUACACCCACAUGCACAGACACGUGCAUGAUUACAAGGUGAUAAAAAUGAAUCUUAAAAUGAGAAAAAGACUUGAACUUUUUUUCCAAAUGUGACGACAUCAUCUAAUAACUGAUUUUCCUCCUUAUGCCAAUGUCAGGUAUCAUAAAGGAUGAUGCCUAAGGAGAGGAUCAUACUUGCUUUUUCCUCCUUGCUCACCAUUAUACUUUCUGCUCAGCAUCAGAACUGCUAUGUGUUCUCAACAUUGGUGGUAUUUGUUGAACAAAUGACCAAGUGCCUGAUUUCUUCAGGGUACAAUUCUUUAUCCAUACAACAUUACUGGGUCAGAUCAGGCCUGGUGGUACAGGCCUGUAAUCUAGCUACUGGGAAGAUGGGUGGGAAGGGUUGCAGUUCAAGGCCUGCCUGUGCUGUUGAAGGCUGAGUGAGUUGAAGGCCAGCUGGGACUGUUUAAUGAAACUCUGUCCAUUGACUUUCUUUUGAAAGAUGUUUAUCUGUAUCUAUCUUACUGCUUUCUCGAGGGGAGAGUAUAACUAAGUAUUGACAUUCUGAUGCAUGCACUAAAACUGAAGACUUACUUUUCUCAUUUUGAAAAUAAUAAAAAGAAAAGAAGAGAAAAGAAAAAAAAUCAGGAGAUCUGGAGAUAUUGUUUCAUUUUAGGCCAAACUUCUACUAGAUGAAGGAAAGCAUUUUACAAAGCAAGUGUGUGAUUAGACAGUGAUGGACUAGGGAUGUUGGCAAAUUUUUGGUAGUCUGGUUGCUCAUCUUGAUACCCGUGGUUAUUGUCUCAGUACCUGUGUACUACCAUUUUUGUAAAGGAGAGUGGAAGAAGAACCUGCUUUAGGGGGUGGUGGCCCACAUAGGCCAACAGCUUGUGUCCUAGUAAUGGCGGGGGGGUGGAUGCUUGCUUACUUUUUACUUUUUUUUUUUUUUUUUUUUUUUUUUUUUUUGAGCAGGUUUCCAUUAUCCCAGAGUAGUUUUGAAGUGGCAAUUUAGUCUAGCUAAGGAUGACCAGAGUUUCUGGUUCCAUAUCCCUCAAGUGCUGGGAUUACAGGUGUAAUGUCAGGGGAAUAUAAAGAAGGAAAGCAUAUCAGUGUACAUUUUUAAAGAUAAUUUCUCUAUAAAGUGAAAAAAAUUUUUAUUGUACAGACUUACUGUUUCAACAUCGCCAUUUAUUCACAAUGCAAUUUUAGAAGUAGAUUUGUUAGGUCCAAAGGCCAAACAGUUCAUUCACUCUUGAAAGAGUAUUCUUUCUAUGAGGAUUCUUGUUUACCAUGCCUUUCCUAUGAUUUAAAAUAUCAAAUUAUUAUAAAUAUUAGAAGCUAAUAUUUAAUAUAAACAACACUUAUUGCCAUAUAUAAUUACAUUAAAUAUUAAUUUAAUAAAUUGCUUUAAUGUUAAAGUAUUAAAUAAUAUUUAUGCUUAUAUGUAACUAAUAAAAUUUGACUUAAUAUUAUUUAAUUAUUAAAUAUAAAUAUAUUGUUAUUGUUAUUAUUUUGGUACUGAGUAUUGACCAUGUAUAUGCUAGUCAAAUGCUCUAUAUCUGACCUACAGAGUCCAGGCCUAAUGUUUUUGAUUUGUUUGUUUGCUUGUUUGUUUUUCCAGGCAAGGUUUCUCUAGGUGGCCCAGGCUGUCCUUGAACUCAGAGGUCUGCCUGCCUCUGCCUCCUGAGUGCUGAGGCAUGUACCAGUACCACCCUGCUCCUAGGUUUGUAAAGGUAGUUAGAUUAUAAUUUUAAUAGUUGCAGGUAUAGAAAUGAGCUACCAUCCAUCAUCUGCAUUGCAAAUUCUUCUUUUUUUGAAAGUGAAUUAUAACAAUUUAUUAACAAGGCAGACAGUUUUUUCACCGCAGUAGGUAAAGUUGACUUAAUUUGUUUCACAGCUUUGGGUAUUGUCCUUACACACAGAGGCCAUCCAUACAUCUGUGGAUUGUUCCACUUUUAAAAUAUAUGCUGCUGAAGUGAGCAUUGCAUUGCAAGACUUUGACUUUUUUUUUAAAACUUUGCAGUUAUAUUUAUCAUUUUCAGAUGUAUAAUUAUCUUUUUCUAUAACCAGAUUUAUUGAUCUUUUGCCCCAGUGCUGGGAUAAAAUUUUCUGCUUUGAUUGUGCAAGGUGAGUGCCCAGCUGCUGAGCUCUACCCUCAGCACUCACCCCCUGUUUUAGGGACUUAGUCUUGUGUAGAAAGCUGAAGGGAUCCCUCUGAUUGACUCCACCCCUCCUGUUAUUUAUUUAUUUAUUUAUUUAUUCAUUUAUAUUUUAAUGUGCAUUGGUGUCUUGCCUGCAUGCGUGUCUGUAUGAGGGUGUCAGAUCUCAGAGUUACAGACAGCUGUGAACUGCCCUGUGUAGGGAAUUGAACCUGGGUCCUCUGGAAGAGCAGCUAGUGUUUUUAACUGCUGAGCCACCUCUCCAGCUCCCUGUUGCUUAUUUUAUCGUUACUCUUCUUUUGAGUUUCUACUAACCCUGCUUAAACUCCCCACUAAAAUGCCUUGAAGAUCC